AAGUCGUAACAAGGUUUCCGUAGGUGAACCUGCGGAAGGAUCAUUAACAAUUUUGUAUUGUAAACCGUUAGGUUUACGAUAUUAACAUAAUGUUAUCCACCCUUUCAAAUGUGAAACUGUUUAAAACGUAGUUUAUGACUUUCUGGUUGGGUGUUUUGAAUCUUUUGAGAUUUGAAACGAUAAAUUGCCUGCCAGAAGGUUUUCUGUUUAAAACCAACCUAGCUAAAUUAUUUGUUGAAUUAACUGAUCAUUCUUUAUGGGAUGAAUAAACUUAAUACAACUUGCAACAAUGGAUCUCUUGGCUCUU
rnacentral:misc_RNA from 1 species